rnacentral:rRNA from 1 species
CGGGUGAGUAACGCGUAAACAACCUGCCCUUCGGAUGGGGACAACAGCUGGAAACGGCUGCUAAUACCGAAUACGUUCUUUCCAUCGCAUGGUGAGAAGAAGAAAGGACGGCCUCUACACAAAGCGGUCGCCGAAGGAGGGGUUUGCGUCUGAUUAGCUAGUUGGAGGGGUAACGGCCCAACAAGGCGACGAUCAGUAGCCGGUCUGAGAGGAUGAACGGCCACAUUGGGACUGAGACACGGCCCAGACUCCUACGGGAGGCAGCAGCG